UGAUAUGACCAGAAUACCCUCAAUGUGCCCGAUCUCAUCAGUUUGUGGAAGCUAAGCGGUCAUGAGCCUAGUUAGUACUUGGAUGGAAGAUUAUCUGGGCAUAACAGGCGUUGCAGGCU
rnacentral:rRNA from 1 species